rnacentral:lncRNA from 1 species
CCCCAUCCUGUGAAACCCCCAAUCCAUGUAAAACCACCGGUUACAGUCCCUCCGGUCACUGUCCCACCAGUGACAGUCCCUCCAAUAGUAAAACCACCAGUUACAGUCCCACCAGUGACUGUUCCUCCUGUGAAGCCACCAGUUGAACUCCCUCCGAUUGCAAAACCACCCAUUACAGUCCCACCAGUGACUGUUCCUCCUGUAAAGCCACCUGUUGAACUCCCUCCGAUUGCAAAACCACCCAUUACAGUCCCACCAGUGACUGUUCCUCCUGUGAAGCCACCAGUUGAACUCCCUCCGAUUGCAAAACCACCCAUUACAGUCCCACCAGUGACUGUUCCUCCUGUAAAGCCACCUGUUGAUCUCCCUCCAAUUGCUAAGCCACCCAUUACGGUUCCACCAGUGACCAUCCCUCCAGUGACUGUUCCUCCUGUUAAGCCACCUGUUGAUCUCCCUCCAAUUGCAAAGCCACCCAUUACAGUUCCACCAGUGACUGUUCCUCCUGUGAAGCCACCAGUUGAGCUCCCUCCAAUUGCAAAGCCACCCAUUACAGUCCCACCAGUGACUGUUCCUCCUGUGAAGCCACCAGUUGACCUCCCUCCAAUUGCAAAACCGCCCAUCACAGUCCCUCCAGUGACCCUCCCAGUCCCUCCAGUUACUGUCCCUCCAGUGACUGUUCCUCCUGUAAAGCCACCAGUUGACCUCCCUCCAAUUGCAAAACCACCCAUCACAGUCCCACCAGUGACUGUUCCUCCUGUGAAGCCACCAGUUGACCUCCCUCCAAUUGCAAAACCACCCAUCACAGUCCCUCCGGUAACUGUCCCUCCAGUGACUGUUCCUCCCGUAAAGCCACCAGUUGACCUCCCUCCAAUUGCAAAACCACCCAUCACAGUCCCACCAGUGACCGUCCCAGUCCCACCAGUGACUGUUCCUCCUGUGAAACCACCUAUCAACCUUCCCCCAGUAACAGUGCCACCAGUUACUAACCCACCAAGUGGGAAACCCUGCCCAC